GGUAAAAGGCGGGGUUUCCCAUAAUGCCAUUGGAAUUUGAGUUUAAAAGACGAGUUCCGGAAGGCGUUUGAGUAUGAAUGCGAGUGAUAGUGUGUGUAUAUGUGUGAGUGAAUGUCUGUGUGGAAGGGAGGUUUGUUACUGUGAGUGUUUUCUUCAUUUGUGUAAUCUACACGUUGAUCUUAUUUGAUCGGGCUGGUGUGGGGCCCGGCCCAGCCUGAAAUGAGAAGACUUCCUCCGUGAGCUGAUGGUCAUCCUUCGGCAGUGCGCGUGAGGCAACGAGAACGGGCGCCGUGCCUGAGGGCACGGAAAGUUCAGAGGUGAUGAGUCGAUCAGAUAUACUAGGCCCGGGUGGCCUGUACCCUCACGGGUUUCAGGCGGCAAACUUGGCCCAUGAGUAUAGAGGCGAUUCUGAUCUGA